rnacentral:rRNA from 1 species
GACGAACGCUGGCGGCGUGCUUAACACAUGCAAGUCGAACGGAAAGGCCCUGCUUUUGUGGGGUGCUCGAGGGGCGAACGGGUGAGUAACACGUGAGUAACCUGCCCUUGACUUUGGGAUAACUUCAGGAAACUGGGGCUAAUACCGGAUAGGAGCUCCUGCUGCAUGGUGGGGGUUGGAAAGUUUCGGCGGUUGGGGAUGGACUCGCGGCUUAUCAGCUUGUUGGUGGGGUAGUGGCUUACCAAGGCUUUGACGGGUAGCCGGCCUGAGAGGGUGACCGGCCACAAUGGGACUGAGAUACGGCCCAGACGCCUACGGGAGGCAGCAGUGGGGAAUAUUGCACAAUGGGCGGAAGCCUGAUGCAGCAACGCCGCGUGCGGGAUGACGGCCUUCGGGUUGUAAACCGCUUUCGCCUGUGACGAAGCGUGCGUGACGGUAAUGGGUAAAGAAGCACCGGCUAACUACGUG